UGGGGAAUAUUGGACAAUGGGCGCAAGCCUGAUCCAGCAACGCCGCGUGGAGGACGAAGGCCUUCGGGUCGUAAACUCCUGUCAGUAGGGACGAAAAAGUAGGGUCGAACAGGCCCUGCCAUUGACGGUACCUGCAGAGGAAGCCCCGGCUAACUCCGUGCCAGCAGCCGCGGUAAUACGGAGGGGGCAAGCGUUAUUCGGAUUUACUGGGCGUAAAGGGCGUGUAGGCGGCUUGAUAGGUCAAAGGUGAAAGCCCUCGGCUCAACCGAGGAACUGCCUUUGAAACCAUCUCGCUCGAGGCUGGGAGGGGGUAGCGGAAUUCCUGGUGUAGCGGUGAAAUGCGUAGAUAUCAGGAGGAACACCGGUGGCGAAGGCGGCUACCUGGACCAGUUCUGACGCUGAGGCGCGAAAGCGUGGGGAGCAAACAGGAUUAGAUACCCCCGUAGUCC
rnacentral:rRNA from 1 species